rnacentral:lncRNA from 1 species
GUAAUUUAGCUAAAAAAUCAGGGUAUAAUUCAUUGUGACCUUGUUUAACAGUAGGAGCUUGGCCUGGGGUGCGUAAUUUAUCCCAAGCUCUCAUACACACCUUUGUUACUUGUUCCGUGGUAACAGCAUCAAAGCCUAAUUGGGCAUAAAUAUCAGAGAAGUCAUCGGAGCCUGUGAGCUGAGCCUGAGUAAUUAGAAUGCCAUCAGCCCGAUUUAGCUGAGCCUGCAGACGGGCCUCCUCUGACCACCAGGAGAAUUAUUUGCAAAGAAAAUGAAGAUUCCAUAAUCCUCUGAAUGAAAUACUGUAUCUGCUAUACUGUUAGCCUAUUUCAGAAUGGGAGUUCAACUAAGAAGAGAGACACCGAUUGACUGACUACAUUUAUGAGAAAGGUUGAACACAUUCAUGCACUGUUUUUUAAGUUUUACUGAGAAAUAAUUGGUAUACGAAAAACUGUUCGCAUAUUUACUGUGUAUGAUUUGGUAAGUUUGGACAUGUGCAAAUACCUGUGAAAUCAUCACCACAAUCAAGGUAAUAGACUAGACUACGUCCGUGUAUGUGUGUGUGUGUGUGUGUGUGUGUAUGUAUGUGUAUAUGUGUGUAUGUGUAGUAAGAAUACUUAACAUGAGAUCUACCCUAUUAAAUUCUGGAGUACACAAUACCAUAUUGUUAAUGGUAAGUACUAUGUUGUACAGUAGACUCCUCGAAUUUAUUCAUCUGGCAUUGUUGAAACUUUAUACUCAUUGAACAAUAACUCCCCAUUCCCCCACAAUCUCAAUCCCCUGGCAACCCCUAUUGUAUUUACUAAUUCUAUAAGUUUGACCAUGAUAGAUGCCUCAUAUAAUUGGAAUAAUGCAAUAUUAUCUAACAAAUCCACUUUUGGUUAUAUUUCCAAAAAUACUGGAAUCAGGUUCUCAAAGAGGUUCAUUGUAGCAUUAUUCAUAAUAGCCAAAAUGUGGAACAACCCAAGUGUUCAUCAACAGUUGAAUGGAUAAAGAAAAUGUGGUAUAAACAUACAGUGGAAUAUUAUUCAGCCUUAAAGAGGAAAAUCCUGCUGUUUGCGACAGCAUGGAUGAACACAGAGAACAUUAAACUAAAUCAAGUCAGUCAGUCACAGAAAAACAAAGAUUGCAUUUCAUGUUCUUUUUAAAACAUCCUUUAGGGAAAAGAAGAUUGGAAUAGACCUAGGCAUUGUGUGUAAGUUUAGGGAACAGAAAGAUCUUGUUUGUUGUUGUUGUUGUUGUUGUUGACUAUAAUGCAGAUCAAACAUUUUUUUAAAAAAAUAUUUCUCACUACUUUCUUAUUUUCAUGUCCUUUAGUAUGUAUCCACCUUAAUGUUUCUAAACAUGAAGAAAUUUACAGCAUAAUGUCCUUGCUUUUAAAGGAAUUUUACCAAAUUGAGUAUCUCAAGGAAAUACACAUGUAGGCAAGAAGGAUGAAAAAUUUAACCAGCACAAAAAACUGCAAAGAAGAAUAUUAAAAGUUAGAUGUAGCUCAGGUUUCUCUGAUUAAUUUUUUAAAUUGAUGACUGGCUUUAUGCCACCUUCACCACCUAACGCCUUCUGGUAAUUAUGAAAGGAAUUCACAAAAGUUGUGUGAUUGGGGCCUGCAAAGGAUGUGAACUACUGUCUCAUGGACAUUGUGUGGGGCCUGCCAUUUGACCCCAAGAGAGGGCAGAGAGAAUGACAUUAAGAGUACUUGUGUUGGAGCUACAUUUUCAAGGUGCACUACCCACUUGAUGUGGGAGUUUGAACACAUAUCUUCACUUUUUUGUAUCUUUUUUUUUCAGAUGGAGUCUCGCUGUGUUGCCCAGGCUGUAGUGUCAUGGCACAAUCUCGGCUCACUGCAACCUCUGCCUCCUGGGUUCAAGCGAUUCUCCUGCCUCAGCCUCCCAAGUAGCUGGGACUACAGGUGUGUGCCACCACGCCGGGCUAAUUUUUUGUGUUUUUAGUACAGACGGGGUUUCACCGUGUUAGCCACAAUGGUCUUGAUCUCCUGACCUCAUGAUCUGCCUGCCUCGGCCUCCCAAAGUGCUGGGAUUACAGGUGUGAGCUACCACGCCCGGCCACUUUUUUGUAUCUUAGUUUCUUCAUUCACUAAAUAGAGAUAGUAAUUAUACUUCAAGGGUUUUCUGUGUGAACUAAAUGAGCGAAUACCUGAGAAGCAUGUAUAAUAAUUGAGUAACAACACAAUAGGUGCUAAGUAUUCAUCAUUUUUCUUCUAUUUAACCCCCACCCUUUUUAUUGUAAAUUGACAAUUUACAGUUAUAUAAAUGUAUGAGGUACAAAGAGAUGUUAUAAUUUUAAGUACAAUGUGGAAUAUUUAAAUCAAGCUAGUUAACAUAUCCAUCACUUCAAAUUCUUAAGAUUUUUUGCAGUGAGAACAUUUGAAAUUAACUCACUUACUAAUUUUGAAAUGUAAUAUUCUAUAAUUAACUAUAUUCACCAUGCUGUGCAAUAGAACUCUAAAAAGAAAAAAAAGCAUAUUCCUUCUGAGAUCUUAUAUCCUUCAUCUCCACCCUACUUACAGAUAUUUAUUGUAAGAUUUCCUCUGCUGUCCAUUCUGCACCAAGGUGACUAAUUAGCACCUUUAAUGCUCACAUAGGACCUCUUCCCUAUUAAAACCAAUACUGAGCCUCCUAACGAGGUACUGAGGUGUGUCAGAUUAGUGCUAUGUACUUAAUAGUCAUCUGUGUGCUGCAACUGUGUUGUCUGUAGAUGUGAGGAGAAUGCUUUCCUGCCCACGUUUUCUGUAAUACUUUGUCACAUACUCAAAGGCAAAGCUGCCUUUCUUCCUAGAUACACAAUCUUCAGUGAAGUUAGCUCUCUGAGUAUUUUGCAAAGCUCCCAAGUUUAAAAAUCUAAGAAAUACUAACACAUGCAAAUUUAAUGCAAAAAAUAAAGUGAGUCAUUUUCUCCCUCUUAUAAAAACCAAGAUAAAUACAGUUAUUACCAUGAAAAGAAAUGUAGAAUUGCUUUCUUUUAUUAUGCCUCAACUUAAAGGGCCACAUGCCUUAUUUGAAAAGCUGAGUUUUUAUUUCAUGAUGAGAUAUGUUUUUAUAUCACUUUUCAGGUAAAAUAUUCCUUAGAGCAAAAAGGGCAUUUUUAGGGCUAAUAGGUUCUGCUCUCAUUAACACUAAAAGUUAUGAAUGCUUUUAGAUUUUUACCUAGGGGAAAACAUAGCAAAUGCAAACUGUCAACUCAUAUAUAUACAUCUGAAAAUCUCAAUCAAGCACUGUGAAGCCUUGUCAGGAAAAAUACUUAUCCUCUUGAUUUAAAGAGUGUAACUUUUGUCCCUAGUGAAAAAGAAACUUUUAAUUAUUAAAAGCUUAUACUGGUCCAUAGUUGACAUCUAAUUUAUUUUAUCACAUCAAAUAUGUUGUAAGAUAUAAGAAAUAUUUUAGAAUGUUCAGAAUUAUUUCACAGGUGUUUAGGAUAACUGAGUACUGCUCUUAGUAUUUUUGAAUUACAAACAUCUCAAUUACUAGAAGUCUAAUCAAUGUCCAUCAAUACCAAAUGAAGAGAAUUUGUGGGACAGUGCAAAGUGUUCUUAAUUGGCUUUGCGGAUGCUUGAAUUUAUUUCCUGGUGCUCCAAUAGAAGUUGUGACAUUGGUGAAUCCAUUUAGCUUCUUCUCUUUCUAGUUUCCAUGUCUAACAAUUAUAGACUUUGGCUAAAUAUGCUCUGUAGUCCACCUUAGAGGCAAACUAUUCAGAGUUUUUUUCUUUCCCUGCCAAAUUUCUGUGCAUUUGAGUACUCAAUAAAGAGAAGAAUUUUAUAAAAUGCAGCUGAGUAAUAGAAGACAUGGUCCACCUCACAAGGAAUCAAAUAAUGCAAAUCACUAUGUGUUUAAUGAUUUAUAGAUUUUAGCAUUUCCACUGACAAUUAGCAAAGAAGAAAAAGGCUAAUUAUAACUAGUAUAGGCAUGGACAUAGGAAAAUGGGCACUUUCUAAAACUGCUGAAACAAGUAUACAUAUUAGUAAAGUAUUUAUAGAUAGUAAUUUUCCAAAAUGAAUAAAAAGCAAUAAAAAAUCUUUUAAUCUAAUAAUCUAGAUUCUCAGAAUUUACGCUGAGAUGAUAGGUACAUUUACAAAGGUAAUUUACAUUUAUACUUAAGAAUAUUUAGCAUAAAAUUCUUUAUUAUAGCCAAAGGAAAAUACGAAAUAUGAAAACAUAAAUGAAGAAUAGGAGAUUAGUUACAUGAAUGUUGAUGGGUCUCUGUACAGUUAGGGCAUGCAUGGGCUUUAUGAGUCAAAGAGCCUGAUUCAUUUCAUGACUCUGAAGCUUUCUAGUAUUAUUUUCUUGUAUAAAUUGCUUAAGCACUCUAACUCUGUUUCUGACCCUUUAAAGUGGAAUUAACAAUGGUAUCUUUAUCAGAAUGCUGUCAUUAGAAUUAAAGAAGAUAUGAUUUGUACCGGCCCUUGCACUACUAACUGUCAAUUUUAGUAUAAAUCCACAUAAUAGGCACUCUAGGAAUCUGUUAAUAGUGAUCAUGCAAAGCUAUGUCAAUUCACAUCAGAGGUCAUUCUUAACUACUUGCUAAGUUUAAAAAAAUAAACAGUUGCAUGGCAGCAAUGUAAUACACAAAGUACAUUUUGAUUUUAAAUACAGUGAAAGAGAAUAAAAAGCCUGCAUAUAAAUAUUUAAUUUUUAUUUUCUAUUUUUUAUAUGAUAUUCACAGAUAAU